rnacentral:lncRNA from 1 species
UGUUUAGGCAGUAUAGUUAGAGUUUGAAUUGCAAACUUUGAGGAUAGAAUAAGUUAGAGUAAGUUUGGUUUUUUUAUAUUAAGACAUCUUUUCUUUCAAGUCAUUUCUUUGAAGUUAAUAGCUUAUUUGAUUUGAGUGUUGCACUAAAACGCAUCAUAAGGUAGCAAGUCCAGUACCAGCAGUUUUAGUUACAAAUGCUGUUUACGAACACUGGAUGUAAAAUUACUCGUCCAUUAGAUUAUUGCAAGUUCUUGGAAAAGGGUAACAUUGCAGAACUAUUGCCUUAUGUACAACUUGGAAAUGAAAGUUAUUUACAUAAUUUCUUAAAAAACCAUGGCAGACAGAGGACAUGUUACUUUUACUUCUCAGUCCAUCAUAUUGUUUUUCUCAUUUUGUAGCAGAUCACAGAAUGUCUAUUGUUAAAACUAUUAGUACUGAAUUAUAUAGCUACAUAUUUGAUUUGAAAUGCCUAUUUGUGAAUGUUUAGAAUUUAUUUUUUUGAAAUUAAUAUUCAUAUUUUCAAUUUUUU